AAUUUCCAUGUUUUAUCUAGCUGUUUACGCAGGACCUGAUUGGGUGUGUACACAAGUGCGUUUUCGAUGCUUCUUUAUAUGCAGCUGCUGACGCCCGUGUUGUUUGAAGGCACCGUGUGCGCCUCGACCAAAACUGAAAUAGAAGACGCCGUGCAGCGACACGAAGACGAAAAACUUUGCUACAUUAAUGCCGCCGAGUCUGGAAAGAACCUGGGUGACCUGACAGACGAGGAGAUUUCUUUGCAUGAUGACGUCGGGCACUGCGUUGUGCCGCAACUGUCAGCGCUGGCAUCCUG
rnacentral:lncRNA from 1 species